GUGGGGAAUAUUGGACAACGGGCGAAAGCCUGAUCCAGCCAUGCCGCGUGUGUGAAGAAGGUCUUCGGAUUGUAAAGCACUUUAAGUUGGGAGGAAGGGUAGUAACCUAAUACGUUGCUACUUUGACGUUACCGACAGAAUAAGCACCGGCUAACUUCGUGCCAGCAGCCGCGGUAAUACGAAGGGUGCAAGCGUUAAUCGGAAUUACUGGGCGUAAAGCGCGCGUAGGAGGUUCAGUAAGUUGGAAGUGAAAUCCCCGGGCUCAACCUGGGAAGUGCUGUCAAAACUGCUGAGCUAGAGUACGGUAGAGGGUGGUGGAAUUUCCUGUGUAGCGGUGAAAUGCGUAGAUAUAGGAAGGAACACCAGUGGCGAAGGCGACCACCUGGACUGAUACUGACACUGAGGUGCGAAAGCGUGGGGAGCAAACAGGAUUAGAAACCCCGGUAGUCC
rnacentral:rRNA from 1 species